rnacentral:misc_RNA from 1 species
CCCAUCUUAUCUUUCACGCUCUGCCUUUCAAAUCCACGUUCCUCUUGCGGUUCGUUUUCCACGUUGACACAAAUCACAGGCUCGUGUUGCCUCGCCUGCACCCACCCAGCGCGACAAGCGGCAAUGGCAAGCGUCGCCCAGCACAUAAUCACACCAGCGGUAAUCCGCGCGAAGUACUCUGGCUAUGUCCUGAGCAACGGCGUCAAGUGCGUCAUCGUGCAGGAUGCGAACGCGAAAAUGCCGGCGGCGGCCAUGUGCAUUCGUGCAGGCCAGCUGAACGACCCCGUAGAGCUGCCUGGACUGGCGCACUUCUGCGAGCACAUGCUCUUUAUGGGAACAGAGAAGUUCCCCAAGGAGGACGAGUUCGACAGUUUCGUGUCCAAAGCAAGCGGCCUCACCAACGCCUUCACCGAAGACUGCGAUACGGUGUACUACUUCAGCGUCAGCGAUGGCAGCCUCGAGGGGGCGCUAGAGCGGUUUGUGGAGUUCUUCGCGUCUCCCAGCUUCAGUCCCGGUGCGGUGGCCCGGGAGGUGAACGCGGUGCACAGCGAGGACGAGAAGAACCACAAUAGCGACUACUGGCGUCUCGACGAGCUGAUCCGUGACUUCUGCAACCCUAAGCACCCACGCAGCCGCUACGGCAAUGGCAACCUCACCACCCUGCGGGACGAGCCGCAGCGACGGGGAAUCGACGUGCGCGAGUCGCUCAAAACGUUCCACUCCCGCUACUACUUGGCGGAUGGAGCGACGAUUGUGGUGGUGAGCAUGCGAUCAGCCGACGAGGUGCUGAGCCUCAUCGAGGGGCCGCUCGCGCGGAUGAAGCAGGGGGCCGUUCCGCGCUUUUCCUUCCUCGAGGCCGGCGAGCAUCUGUUCACCAGUGCCGCGCUCGGAUCAUGGACCAACGUGCGCACGGUGCAGAAGAUGCGUGAGCUGCGGCUGAUGUGGGCGGUGCGGUCGCCGUCGUCGGCGUGGCGCACAACGCCGUCGGCGUACAUUGCCCACCUCCUCGGGCAUGAGUGCGACACCUCCGUGCUCGGGGUGCUGAAGAAGCGCAACUGGGCGACAGGCAUGCUGGCCGGCUCCCACCGCGUGGACGAUGACUUUGAAGUCCUGGAUGCCUCUGUCACACUCACAGUGGAGGGGUUCCGGAACGCGCUGAAGGUGGUGGACCUGCUCUACCAGGGCAUUGGCCAGUCCAUUGCGCAUGGCGUGGACGCUGAGGUGUACAAGGGGAUGAAGGCGGAGGAGCGCCUCUUCUUUGAGAGCGUUGACGCUGGCUCGCCGGCGAACCACUGCGUCGCGCUUGCGCAGAACGCCAACGCCACGGACCUGGAGCACUGCUGGAUCGGCGGCAACGUGGUGCUCGAGGACGAUAUGGAGGCGGUUCUGGCCUAUGUGCGUCAGCUGACACCGCAGAACUGCGUGAUGGUCAUGCAGUGGGGAGAUAUGCCGAUCGAUGCAGCCACCGGCGCCACGCCGGCGGAGGGAAACCCCGUGGAGAGCCAUGCACAGCAGCAUGACGAGGAGGAUGACGAGGACAGCCAGAGUGCCGAGGAGGAGACCGCAGAGGAGACGGAGCAAGCGAGUGAGAGUAACGCGUCGGCUGAGGAGCUGUUUCUCUCGCUGCCGGCCUUCGCCCAGGUGCGGGUCAGCAACGUCUCGCGCUUUCACAGGGCGCUGUACCAGACGGUUAAGAUACCGGAGGAGCACGAGGCGCGGUGGCAGAGUCUCAUCAGCGGGCCGUAUCCGCCGGAGCUGGCGUUGCCGUCCACGAACCCCUUCAUCGCCACAGACUUCACAAUUUACCCGCCGGCCGCUGAGGAGGCGGUGGACGAGAUCGCCUCCCCGCACGCCGUGACAUAUGUGAGGAAGGAUGCCGGGCACCACAGCACCUUCAAGAUGGCGCUGCGGUGCAACGUUCUCUCACCCGUUGCGUCCGCGAGCCCGCUGAACCGGCUGUACACGCGCGUCAUGCACGGCAUACUGUCCAACGCACUCACGGAGAUGGCCUACUACGCGAUGCUAGCGUCGCUCACUAAUGAGGUGAUCUUCUCGCCAACGGGGCUGGGCUUUGCUGUGGAGGGCCCGUCGCAGAAGCUGUACGAGUUUUUCUUCGCCGUAGUGCGCAAGGGGCUGUCCAUGCAGGUGCUCCAGGGUACUGCGGAGGAGUACGCGACGUACCUGGAGACAGGCGUGCAGAAGCUCAAGAACGUGGGGAUGGCGCAGCCUUACAAAGUUCUCCACGAGACACAGAAGAAAGCGACGCGGCACACGUACUACUUGUUUAACGAGAUGAUUGCGUGCGAGUCUGCCGCCACGUACGAGGGCUACUGCACCUUUGUGAAGCAGUACUUGGAGAGUGGUCUCCUGCUCGAGUGCUUCGUUGCAGGGAACGUGCUCUCCACACAGGAUGUGCGCGAAAUGCUGGUUGGUCGGCUGGAGGACCUCCUGGGGACGUUAACCAUUCCAAUCCCGCUGAAGGAGACCAUACCACGUGUGCGCGACACAUACGGCCCACGUGCUGGAGAUGGGAAAGCAAACGAGAGCGUGCUCUGCUCCUUCGAUGUCCUCUCAAUGCCACCAUCGAACCCGGCCGACCCGAACGCGGCUGUUGUCGUCGACGUCAUCAUCGGCGAGGCCACUCCGCGCGUGAUGGCGCUCACAGACACCGCAAUGAAGCUCAUCAGCUCCUCUUUCUUCAACGUGCUGCGCACGCGGGAGGCAUUGGGCUACGUUGUGUUUGCUGAAAGCAGUGUCGACUACUGCACAGCGCACGCACUCUUCGUGGUGCAGAGUGCACUGAAGGAUGUGGACUGCGUAUACCUGCUCUCCCGCAUUGUCGCCUUCUUGUCUGCUGUGGAGGCGCAGCUGGACACGGUGUGCUCCGCCGAGGAGGUCGAGAAGGUGAAGAGGGGUCUUAUCGCGGCUCUGGAGAAGGUGCCCGACUCUGUCGAGGGCGAUGUCAAGCGCCUUGAGGGUGAGUAUGUCAGCCUGUCGAAGUUUGAAAGUCGGCAGCGGACGAUUGCCGCUCUCUUGGCCAUCACCGCGGAGGAUGUAAAGUCGCACCUCCGCAAUUACUUCUUUAACAACCGCAGCGAGUCUCGUGCGUUGGCGCUGUGCAUCAAUAACGCUCGCACCGUUGCCGCCGAUGUGCUCGCUGAGCCAGGCAACCGCCGCGUUCCUCUGCCGAGCGUGCGGUCGAGGCAGGAGGACAGCGACGACGCGCCAGGGGACGCAUCAGAGGACACUGAGCCGCUGACGCUGCCUACCUUUUCGGAUGGCAGCAGCUGUGUCGAGAUUACCUCUUAUGCUUCUGCCCUCGAGUAUCAGCACGGACUUUGCCUUGUCAAGUGCAACGCCUAUUGAUGCCGCAAAGGCCUGCGGUGUAUGCGAGAGCGGCGAUACUAUCGGUGGUGCCGCCCCCUAAACGGCCGUAUUUCGAUUUCUACUCAUUUCGCGCGCGUGUUUGUGUGCCGUGCGCCGGUGCUUGUAGACGUCUCUUAUUUCCUUCGCCGGCUGUUUUACAAAAGGGCGCUCCUCUCUCGAUGC